GCAUCUCCUGUCUCGGUCUGCUGCACAUCGCUUGGGAUCGUCGCGGUCAAGUACGAAUUGUUCUACGCAGAGCACUACCCCUCAACAUGAGCAAGCAUCACAGUGAGCUCGGUCAGAGGGAGCAAGACUUGCUGAAGUUUCGUCGCGACAGUGACACAAAAGCUGCUGAGCUAGUCAAGAUGGAGAAGAUGCUGGAGCAGACCAAGAGUCUCAUGGAAAAGAAGAGGGAACCUACUUUAGACUGCACAGGCUACCAGGAGAACAUGGUGGAGGACCUGGAGGAAAAAGUGCGCUCCAGCCGACGCUACAGGAGGAAUUCUCUGCAUCACACACAAAUGCUGGAGAGUCAGAUGAAGACAGUGAAAGGUGAGCUGGUGGGAACGCUGGACCACCUGCAGGAGCUGAGGAACGUGUUGCGGCGCUCACAGCAGAAAGCAGAAGAGCGCAAAGCUGCAAUGGAGAAGCUGGCAGCAGGAAUGAGGUAAACCAUCCUGUCCCCUUACGCUUCGUUUUCAAUCAAGGUUUUUCAAGCUCCAGAAGAAUGAGAUGGCAACAUCCUGCCAAAAAAGCUGUGUGAGAUUCUUGGAUGGCACCAGUACACCGGUGAUGGACAGAGACUUGAAACACUGAUGCAUCUUUCUCUACAGCGAGACAUCGUGACUGAAGCCGCAGUAACGCUUCACAUUUAAGCUUAAAAAUGGUUGGCCCCCUUAAAUCUAGUAUUUUGCAGCUUACCAAUAAAUUCAUGAACUGAAAUAUGGAGACACCACUGCCUGAGACAACAUGCUCUGUUGAAUAUAUACAGUAGAUAUCUGGUGUAGAACUUCUGUUGUUUGGGUUGUUUCUUUGUUUGUCCGGGUAUCCAUAUGCAAAUUCUUUACUGUUGUUGGGUGACACAAUGUCAAUAAUGGCAGGUUUUCUUUUGUAAUAUAAAUUUGUAAAAUAAUCAUUUAUGUACUAUGUUUUUUAUUCUAGCAGAAAGUGUAAAGAAUGUGAUGUAUCAACAUAUUAAAUUAAGAU
rnacentral:lncRNA from 1 species